rnacentral:ncRNA from 1 species
AUGUUCUUUGCUAGCCUGGGGACACCCGACGAGACGCGCCGUACCGGGAUGACGACAAGACGACGCACU